rnacentral:rRNA from 1 species
UACGGGGGGGGCAAGCGUUGUUCGGAAUUACCGGGCGUAAAGGGCUCGUAGGCGGCCAACUAAGUCAGACGUGAAAUCCCUCGGCUUAACCGGGGAACUGCAUCUGAUACUGGAUGGCUUGAGUUUGGGAGAGGGAUGCGGAAUUCCAGGUGUAGCGGUGAAAUGCGUAGAUAUCUGGAGGAACACCGGUGGCGAAGGCGGCAUCCUGGACCAACACUGACGCUGAGGAGCGAAAGCCAGGGAGCAAAGCGGG